rnacentral:rRNA from 1 species
AAUGAACGCUGGCGGCAUGCCUAACACAUGCAAGUCGAACGAGACCUUCGGGUCUAGUGGCGCACGGGUGCGUAACGCGUGGGAAUCUACCCUUGGGUUCGGAAUAACUCAGAGAAAUUUGAGCUAAUACCGGAUGAUGACGUAAGUCCAAAGAUUUAUCGCCCAAGGAUGAGCCCGCGUAGGAUUAGCUUGUUGGUGAGGUAAAAGCUCACCAAGGCGACGAUCCUUAGCUGGUCUGAGAGGAUGAUCAGCCACACUGGGACUGAGACACGGCCCAGACUCCUACGGGAGGCAGCAGUGGGGAAUAUUGGACAAUGGGCGAAAGCCUGAUCCAGCGAUGCCGCGUGAGUGAUGAAGGCCUUAGGGUUGUAAAGCUCUUUUACCCGGGAAGAUAAUGACUGUACCGGGAGAAUAAGCCCCGGCUAACUCCGUGCCAGCCGCCGCUGUAAGAC